AACGAACGCUGGCGGCAGGCCUAACACAUGCAAGUCGAGCGAGGACUUCGGUUCUAGCGGCGGACGGGUGAGUAACGCGUGGGAAUGUGCCCUUCUCUACGGAAUAGCCCUGGGAAACUGGGAGUAAUACCGUAUACGCCCUAUUGGGGAAAGAUUUAUCGGAGAAGGAUCAGCCCGCGUUGGAUUAGGUAGUUGGUGGGGUAAUGGUCUACCAAGCCGACGAUCCAUAGCUGGUUUGAGAGGAUGAUCAGCCACACUGGGACUGAGACACGGCCCAGACUCCUACGGGAGGCAGCAGUGGGGAAUCUUAGACAAUGGGGGCAACCCUGAUCUAGCCAUGCCGCGUGAGUGAUGAAGGCCUUAGGGUUGUAAAGCUCUUUCAGCUGGGAAGAUAAUGACGGUACCAGCAGAAGAAGCCCCGGCUAACUCCGUG
rnacentral:rRNA from 1 species